rnacentral:rRNA from 1 species
UCCGUAGGGGGCAAGCGUUGUCCGGAAUCAUUGGGCGUAAAGAGCGUGUAGGCGGUCCGGUAAGUCGGCUGUGAAAGUCCAGGGCUCAACCCUGGGAUGCCGGUCGAUACUGCCGGACUAGAGUUCGGAAGAGGCGAGUGGAAUUCCCGGUGUAGCGGUGAAAUGCGCAGAUAUCGGGAGGAACACCUAUGGCGAAGGCAGCUCGCUGGGACGUUACUGACGCUGAGACGCGAAAGCGUGGGGAGCAAACAGG